rnacentral:rRNA from 1 species
GACGAACGCUGGCGGCGUGCCUAAUACAUGCAAGUUGAGCGCUGAAGGUUGGUACUUGUACCAACUGGAUGAGCAGCGAACGGGUGAGUAACGCGUGGGGAAUCUGCCUUUGAGCGGGGGACAACAUUUGGAAACGAAUGCUAAUACCGCAUAAAAACUUUAAACACAAGUUUUAAGUUUGAAAGAUGCAAUUGCAUCACUCAAAGAUGAUCCCGCGUUGUAUUAGCUAGUUGGUGAGGUAAAGGCUCACCAAGGCGAUGAUACAUAGCCGACCUGAGAGGGUGAUCGGCCACAUUGGGACUGAGACACGGCCCAAACUCCUACGGGAGGCAGCCGUAGGGGAUCUUCGGCAAUGGACGAAAGUCUGACCGAGCCACGCCGCGUGAGUGAAGAAGGGUUUCGGAUCGUAAAACUCUGUUGGUAGAGAAGAACGUUGGUGAGAGUGGAAAGCUCAUCAAGUGACGGUAACUACCCAGAAAGGGACGGCUAACUACGUG